rnacentral:misc_RNA from 1 species
AAAGUCGUAACAAGGUUUCCGUAGGUGAACCUGCGGAAGGAUCAUUAACAAAUUCAUCCACAUACUGACGUCCCACUUGUGACUCUGGGUGCGCGUGCGUGCGUGCGUGUGUAUCACACACACACACACACCACAGCACCCAGGAGAUCGAGUGGUGUACUCAACCACACACACACUUUACUUGAUUGACAACACCUAGUGAUAUCUAGUUAACGGUAAACAACUUUUAACAAUGGAUCUCUUGGCUCUU